rnacentral:tRNA from 1 species
GGGCUCGUAGUCUAGCGGCUAUGAUGUCGCCUUCACACGGCGAAGGUCCUCGGUUCGAUUCCGAGCGGGCCCA